rnacentral:rRNA from 2 species
GAUGAACGCUGGCUGUGUGCCUAAUACAUGCAUGUUGAACGAAGCAGUAUUUAUAUUGACUUAGUAGCGAAUGGGUGAGUAACACGUACCUAACCUACCUUUAAGAUUGGGAUAACUACUGGAAACAGUUGCUAAUACCAAAUAACAAAUUUUUUCGCAUGAAAAAAUUUUAAAAGAAGCAUAAGAGGUAACUCCGCUUCACUUAAAAAUGGGGGUGCGGAACAUUAGCUAGUUGGUAGGGUAAUGGCCUACCAAGGCGAUGAUGUUUAGCCGGGCCGAGAGGCUGUACGGCCACACUGGGACUGAGAUACGGCCCAGACUCCUACGGGAGGCAGCAGUAGGGAAUUUUCCACAAUGAGCGAAAGCUUGAUGGAGCGACACAGCGUGCAGGAUGAAGGCCUUCGGGUUGUAAACUGCUGUGGUAAGGAAAGAAAAAAUAGGGUAGGAAAUGACCCUUAAUUGACGGUACCUUAUUAGAAAGCGAUGGCUAACUAUGUGCCAGCAGCCGCGGUAAUACAUAGGUCGCAAGCGUUAUCCGGAAUUAUUGGGCGUAAAGAGUUCGUAGGUGGUUUGUUAAGUCUGAAGUUAAAUCCAAAAGCUCAACUUUUGCCCGCUUUAGAUACUAGCAAACUGGAAUUGCAAAGAGGUUAGCGGAAUUCCUAGUGAAGCGGUGGAAUGCGUAGAUAUUAGGAAGAACACCAAUAGGCGAAGGCAGCUAACUGGUUGUAUAUUGACACUGAGGAACGAAAGCGUGGGGAGCAAACAGGAUUAGAUACCCUGGUAGUCCACGCCGUAAACGAUGAUCAUUAGUUGGUAGAAAAAUUUACCGAUGCAGCUAACGCAUUAAAUGAUCCGCCUGAGUAGUAUACUCGCAAGAGUGAAACUUAAAGGAAUUGACGGGGACCCGCACAAGCGGAGGAGCAUGUGGUUUAAUUUGAAGAUACGCGUAGAACCUUACCCACUCUUGACAUCCCUUGCAAAGUUAUAGAGAUAUAAUGGAGGCUAACAAGGUGACAGAUGGUGCAUGGUUGUCGUCAGCUCGUGUCGUGAGAUGUUAGGUUAAGUCCUGCAACGAGCGCAACCCUUGUCUUUAGUUACUAACAUUAAGUUGAGAACUCUAGAGAGACUGCCAACGAAAGUUGGAGGAAGGUGGGGACGACGUCAAAUCAUCAUGCCUCUUACGAGUGGGGCAACACACGUGCUACAAUGGUUGGUACAAAGAGAUGCGACAUAGUGAUAUCAAGCAAAUCUCAAAAAACCAAUCUCAGUUCGGAUUGAAGUCUGCAACUCGACUUCAUGAAGUCGGAUUCGCUAGUAAUCGCAGAUCAGCUAUGCUGCGGUGAAUACGUUCUCGGGUCUUGUACACACCGCCCGUCACACCAUGGGAGUUGGUAAUACCCGAAGAUGGUUAGUUAACCUCGGAGGCAACUAUCUAAGGUAGGACUGAUGACUGGGGUGAAG